rnacentral:rRNA from 1 species
AGUGAACGCUGGCGGCGUGCUUAACACAUGCAAGUCGAACGAGAACGGAUUAUAGCUUGCUAUAAUUGUCAGCUAAGUGGCGCACGGGUGAGUAAUGUAUAGGUAAUAUGCCUCUUACUAAGGGAUAACAAAUGGAAACGUUUGCUAAUACCUUAUACUCCUUAUUAACAGAAGUUAAUAAGGGAAAGAUUUAUUGGUAAGAGAUUAGCCUGUAUUGUAUCAGUUAGUUGGUGGGGUAAUGGCUUACCAAGACUAUGACACAUAACUGGUUUGAGAGGAUGAUCAGUCACACUGGAACUGAGACACGGACCAGACUCCUACGGGAGGCAGCAGUGGGGAAUAUUGCACAAUGGACGAAAGUCUGAUGCAGCAACGCCGCGUGGAGGAUGACACAUUUCGGUGCGUAAACUCCUUUUAUAUGAGAAGAUAAUGACGGUAUUACAUGAAUAAGCACCGGCUAACUCCGUGCCAGCCGCCGCGGUAA